GAUGAACGCUAGCUACAGGCUUAACACAUGCAAGUCGAGGGGUAACAAGAGAAAAGCUUGCUUUUCUUGUUGACGACCGGCGCACGGGUGAGUAACGCGUAUCCAACCUGCCUAUAACUAGGGAAUAACCUUGCGAAAGUAAGACUAAUACCCUAUGAUUUCCUUUGAUGGCAUCAGAUUAGGAAUAAAGAUUCAUCGGUUAUAGAUGGGGAUGCGUCUGAUUAGCUUGUUGGCGGGGUAACGGCCCACCAAGGCAACGAUCAGUAGGGGUUCUGAGAGGAAGGUCCCCCACAUUGGAACUGAGACACGGUCCAAACUCCUACGGGAGGCAGCAGUGAGGAAUAUUGGUCAAUGGGCGGAAGCCUGAACCAGACAAGUAGCGUGCAGGAUGACGGCCCUAUGGGUUGUAAACUGCUUUUAUACAGGAAUAAAGUUAGCCACGUGUGGUUAUUUGCAGGUACUGUAUGAAUAAGGACCGGCUAAUUCCGUGCCAGCCGCCGCCGUAAAAC
rnacentral:rRNA from 1 species